AGUAGUCAUGUGAUUCUGUCGUGUGCUUCCUGGAACAACAAAACGUAAUACAUUUUGUCUUACCCUUUUGGCCAAAAACUGCCAUAAACUAAUUUCUGGAGAGGAUUAGUCCUGUCACGGCCCAAGAGCCAAGUUUUCGAAGUUAUCCGUGGUUUUUCAGGAUUUUGUGAACUCUAAAGUGCGACCUCAUUCUGGACAGGAUUGAGCCAUCUUCUUGUUUUAAAAUGUCACUUUAAGUCGUUCCCUAUAGUCCAGUGAUUGUGUAACCCAUUCCUUACAUCUAAGGAAUUGAAUAAGUGGAAUAUUAAACAUGUUAUGCCAA
rnacentral:sRNA from 1 species